rnacentral:rRNA from 1 species
CCACUGGAUGAGGGGCCUGCGUAGCAUCAGCUAGUUGGUGGGGUAAUGGCCUACCAAGGCGAAGACGCUUAGCUGGUCUGAGAGGAUGAUCAGCCACACUGGGACUGAGACACGGCCCAGACUCCUACGGGAGGCAGCAGUGGGGAAUAUUGGACAAUGGGCGCAAGCCUGAUCCAGCCACGCCGCGUGAGUGAUGAAGGCCUUCGGGUCGUAAAGCUCUGUGGGGAGGGACGAACGGCGCCAUGAAGAGUGGCGAUUGACGGUACCUCCUUAGCAAGCACCGGCUAACUUCGUGCCAGCAGCCGCGGUAAUACGAAGGGUGCAAACGUUGCUCGGAAUCAUUGGGCGUAAAGCGCACGUAGGCGGCUUUCUAAGUCGGAUGUGAAAUCCCUCGGCUUAACCGAGGACGUGCAUCCGAAACUGGGAGGCUUGAGUAUGGAAGAG